UACGUAGGUGGCAAGCGUUGUCCGGAUUUACUGGGCGUAAAGAGCGCGCAGGCGGUCCGAUCAGUCGAAUGUGAAAGCCCCCGGCUCAACUGGGGAGGGUCAUUCGAUACUGAUCGACUCGAAGGCAGGAGAGGGUAGUGGAAUUCCCGGUGUAGUGGUGAAAAUGCGUAGAUAUCGGGGAGGAACACCAGUGGCGAAGGCGGCUCUCUGGGACGGUACUGACGCUGAGACGCGAAAGCGUGGGGAGCGAACAGG
rnacentral:rRNA from 1 species